AGGGAGGUGAUGAACCUUUCUCCACAUGAUCAAUUAUGAUUAUGCUGUCAUUUUAUUAUUUUUCUUUUAUCUUUUGAAGAGAAAUCAACUCAAAGAUUCUUGUCCUU